AGUACAAAAUUAUAUCACAAGAAAAAGAAGAAUUGUAGAACAAACAAAUACAUAGAUUGUCAUAAAACGUUAGAGAAGGAAUAUGAUGUCAUAUUACAUUUUGUCUUGCUGAAGAAUGCACCAGGCAUCUAGCUAUAGAAGGUGAGAUUGUGUUUCACAAGUAGCCCAAAAAUCCAAAUAAGUUUCACCCAUAUGAGAAGAAUAUAAUCUGAAUUUCA
rnacentral:lncRNA from 1 species